rnacentral:lncRNA from 1 species
UGUUGUCAGCAGCAGCAGCAACAGUAUCCUAGCCUAAUCAAUCCUUCCAUCCAUCUUCUACUCAGGAUUAAUUACAAAUGGCUUAAUGAGAUUCAAGUUUUAUUGCAAGAACUUGGUCAAAGCAGAUUUCCAGUAUUCUGGGGCUCAUCGUGCCACUGACUACUGAAACAGACAUCCCAGGCUGGGCUUCUAAAGAACUCAGGAGGCAUCAUCUAAAACAUGGUAGCAGCUUAGGGCCCUGCACUCGGGGAAGCAGCCCAGAAGGGGAUUAGAAGAUCUGUGGAGACAGAGCUGGAGUAACUGUCUUCACCCUGCCACCUCCAUGGGGCUGUAUAACAAAAUUACAAAAGCCACCCAGGGGAUGAGUUCUGGCAUUAUCUACUUCCUUCCCUGGCUCUGCCUGGAUUCUGGAGCUCCUCUCUUUGCUGUUAACAAGCAAGUCUUCU